rnacentral:rRNA from 1 species
CAGCCCUUGACAUGGUCGGACAGUUACCAGAGAUGGUUUCCUUCACUUCGGUGACUGACACACAGGUGCUGCAUGGCUGUCGUCAGCUCGUGUCGUGAGAUGUUGGGUUAAGUCCCGCAACGAGCGCAACCCUCGCCCUUAGUUGCCAUCAUUCAGUUGGGCACUCUAAGGGGACUGCCGGUGAUAAGCCGGAGGAAGGUGGGGAUGACGUCAAGUCUUCAUGGCCCUUACGGGCUGGGCUACACACGUGCUGCAAUGGUGGUGACAGAGGGUUGCUAGGCCGCGAGGUCAUGCUAAUCCCAAAAAGCCAUCUCAGUUCGGAUUGCACUCUGCAACUCGGGUGCAUGAAGUCGGAAUCGCUAGUAAUCGCAGAUCAGCACGCUGCGGUGAAUACGUUCCC